rnacentral:rRNA from 1 species
AUUGAACGCUGGCGGCAGGCCUAACACAUGCAAGUCGAACGGUAACAGGAAGCAGCUUGCUGCUUUGCUGACGAGUGGCGGACGGGUGAGUAAUGUCUGGGAAACUGCCUGAUGGAGGGUGAUAACUACUGGAAACGGUAGCUAAUACCGCAUAACUUCUCAUGACCAAAGAGGGGGACCUUCUGGCCUCGUGCCAUCGGAUGUGCCCGGGUGGGCUUAGCUUGUGGGUGGGGUAACGUUUCCCCUAGGCGACGAUCCCUAGGUGGUCUGAGAGGAUGACCAGCCACACUGGAACUGAGACACGGUCCAGACUCCUACGGGAGGCCGCAGUGGGGAAUAUUGCGCAAUGGGCGCAAGCCUGAUGCAGCCAUGCCGCGUGUAUGAAGAAGGCCCUCGGGUUGUAAAGUACUUUCAGCGGGGAGGAAGGGAGUAAAGUUAAUACCUUUGCUCAUUGACGUUACCCGCAGAAGAAGCACCGGCUAACUCCGUG